AGAGUUUGAUCCUGGCUCAGGAUGAACGCUAGCGGUAGGCAUAACACAUGCAAGUCGAGGGGCAGCUGGUUUGGUAGCAAUACUGAAUGUCAGGCGACCGGCGGAUGGGUGAGUAACGCGUACGCAACCUACCUUGUACAGUGGGAUAGACACUGGAAACGGUGCGUAAUACCACGUAAUAAUAUAGAUAGGCAUCUAUUUAUAUGGGAAGGGUACGUAAGUAUUGGUAUAAGAUGGGCGUGCGUAGGAUUAGAUAGAUGGUGGGGUAACGGCUUACCAUGUCGACGAUCUUUAGGGGUUCUGAGAGGAAGGUCCCCCACAUUGCAACUGAGAACGGUGCAAACUCCUACGGGAGGCAGCAGUGAGGAAUAUUGGUCAAUGGGCGGAAGCUUGAACCAGCCAUACCGCGUGCAGGAAGGCGGCCUUAUGGGUUGUAAACUGCUUUUAUAAUGGGAUAGUGAUUAUAUCGUGCAUAUGAUAGGGAAGGUACAUUAUGAAUAAGUAUCGGCUAACUCCGUGCCAGCAGCCGCGGUAAUACGGAGGAUACGAGCGUUGUCCGGAUUUAUUGGGUUUAAAGGGUGCGUAGGCGGUUGAUUAGGUCUAUGGUGAAAUGGUUGUGCUCAACACAAUUUAGCUGUAGAAACCGGUCGGCUAGAAUAUAAGUGGCGUAGGCGGAAUAAAGCGUGUAGAGGUGACAUUCAUAGAUAUGCUUUAGAACACCGUUCGCGAAGGCGGCUUACGAAGGUAAAAUUGACGCUAAUGCACGAGAGCGUGGGUAUCGAACAGAAUUAGAUACUCUGGUAGUCCACGCUGUAAACGA
rnacentral:rRNA from 1 species